CAACCAUUGAACUGAGAACAAGGUUCCAAAAAGAGGAGUUACAGAAAGAACUGAAGUAGUUGAAGGGGUUUGCCACCCCAUAAGAAGAACAAUAUCAACCAACCAAACCCCUGCCCUCGAUCUUCCAUGGACUAAACAACCAUCCCAAGAAUACACAAGGAUGAGCCUAUGGCUCCAUCUGCAUAUGAAGCAGAGGAUAUCCUUUUCAGGCACCAAUGGGAGCAAAUGCCCUUGGUCCUGUCAAGGCUUGAUGCCCCAGUGUAGGGAACUGUCAGAAUGGGCAGGUUGGAAGGAGUAAGUGGGUGAAUGAGGAACUGCCCUCAUAGAACAGGAGGCAUGAGGGGAAAUAAUAGCUGGUUUGUAGAGGACAAAUCAGGAAAGGGGAUAAUAUUUAAAAUGUGAAUUAAAAAAAUCCCCUCCCCCAAUGAAAGAAAAAGAAAGAGAAAUGGAGAAAGAAAAAGAAAAACAAAUGGGGGUACAUAACUAAACAGAUGCCGACUGGUGAUGCAGCGGCGUUAUUCCCAUGAUAGUCAAGCAGCUUCUGGGAAACCAAAGUCUUUGGGUUCCAGGGGGAGCAUGGUUGCAAAGCUGAAACUUAACGGAAUUGACGGAAAGGCACCACCAAGAGUUGAGCCUGCAGCUUAAUUUGACUCAACAUGGGAAUCCUCACCCGGCCUGGACACAGACAGGAUUGACAGAUUGAUAGGUCUUUCUCGAUUCCGUGGUUGGUGGUGCAUGGCCUUUCUUAGUUGGUGGAGCGAUGUGUCCUGUUAAUUCUGAUAAUGAACAAGACUCUGGCAUGCUAACUAUUUAUGGCGUCCCCCAACUUCUUAGAGGGACAAGUGGUGUUCAGCCACCUGAGAUUGAACAAUAACAGGUCUGUGAUGCCCUUAGAUGUCCUGGGCUGCAUGUGUGCCACACUGACUGGCUCAGCCUGUGCCUACCCUACGCCUGCAGGUGAGGGUAACCCAUUGAACCGCAUUCGUGAUGGAGAUCGGGGAUUACAAUUAUUCCCCAUGAAAGAGGAAUUCCCAGUAAGUGCGGGUCAUAACCUUGCAUUGAUUAAGUCCCUGCCCUUUGUACACACCGCCUUCGCUACUAUGGAUUGGAUGGUUUAGUGAGGCCUGAUAGGCCCAUGGCCCUGUAGGAGGGCUGAGAAGAAGGUCAAACUUGAUUAUCUAGAGGAAGUAAAAGUCGUAACAAGGUUUCCAUAGGUGAACCAGCGGAAG
rnacentral:rRNA from 1 species